CCCGACCCCCUCCCCUUCUCCCUCGUGCCCAACUCCCAUGUCGCCGCACGAUGCCCACCGGAGAUGAUGCCCCGCUCGCGCACGAUGCCCACCAGAGAUGAUGCCCCGCUCACGCAUGUGCCAAUUAGAGAUGACACUAGGCUAACGCCACCGCAAUGCCCUGCUCCAUGCCCGCCGCAGCAGGUGCCUUGCCCCCCACCCCCACCGCGCGCGCUCUCAUCCUCACCCCGAAUCUUUGCCCUCCCCUCACUCCGGGCCUCCCACGCCGGUCUUCUACUCCUAAAUUGGUGGCUAGAGCUCGUGUGGCCCUCUCAUCAGAUUUGGUGUCUGAGCCCUCGCUAGAUCUCGCACCCUCACCGAAGCCCUCAUUGGAUUCGACGCCCUCACUAGAGGUUGCACCGCGAUGGGAUCUAGGAACCGUUGACGGCCUCGACCACCCACGUGGAUUGUUGCCUCAGCGGAUGAGACGCAGCGCCAAGGGGCCAGAGGAGACGACGUGAUGAACCUCACAUCACAGCUCAUGUCAUGGUUCAUGCCUCUCGUCGCCUCCCGUCGCAGCUUAUGUCGUGGUUCGCCGAGGCCGCCGCCACGCUGCACGCCAUGAUCAGCGAUGUCGCCUUCGUGAAGCUCGGCAUGGAGUGCUACCCCAAGGAGGCCACCGCUGUUGGGGUCAAGGGAUUCCCCGACGUGGAAAAUAACCGACGACGAGAUCAAUGCCGCCUUCGUCGCUUGCUGCCGCAUCUACCUCAGGUCCGAGUCUGAGCCUGGUAUAUCGCAAGUUCUUCGGCGGGUACUGCAACUGCUCAUACCAUGUCCGGUAACGGUGCAAAGGCAAAUGGGGCAUCAUCACAUAUCUAGGUCGUAUUUUCGACAGACAGAUAUAAAACAGAGUGGGAAUGCCUCGAUUGAUAUCAUGUCCAAGUUCUUCAAGCUGAUGGUGGUUCUACAAUUAAUGAAUGAUUUGAACCGAAGUGUUCAAGAUGCCGCUAUCUCUUGUAUUGAGGUUAGUUAAUUCCAUAUUUGAUAUUGUCUGUGUAUGCCUACUUCAGCCGACAUUGUGUUUUUUCUAGACCCAUGGUGGCUGGUAUGAUCUCUAUUUAUAUU